rnacentral:rRNA from 1 species
CAGGCCUAACACAUGCAAGUCGAACGGAGAUUUACCACCUGCUUGCAGGAGGUAAAUCUUAGUGGCGGACGGGUGAGUAACGCGUGGGUAACCUGCCUCACACAGGGGGAUAACAGUUGGAAACGACUGUUAAUACCGCAUAAGCGCACGGUAUCGCAUGAUACAGUGUGAAAAACUCCGGUGGUGUGAGAUGGACCCGCGUCUGAUUAGCUAGUUGGUGAGGUAACGGCCCACCAAGGCGACGAUCAGUAGCCGGCCUGAGAGGGUAAACGGCCACAUUGGGACUGAGACACGGCCCAGACUCCUACGGGAGGCAGCAGUGGGGAAUAUUGCACAAUGGGCGAAAGCCUGAUGCAGCGAUGCCGCGUGAGGGAAGAAGGUUUUAGGAUUGUAAACCUCUGUCUUUGGGGACGAUAAUGACGGUACCCAAGGAGGAAGCUCCGGCUAACUACGUGCCAGCAGCCGCGGUAAUACGUAGGGAGCGAGCGUUGUCCGGAAUUACUGGGUGUAAAGGGAGCGUAGGCGGGAUUGCAAGUCAGGUGUGAAAUGUAGGGGCUUAACCCCUGAACUGCACUUGAAACUGUAGUUCUUGAGUGAAGUAGAGGUAAGCGGAAUUCCUAGUGUAGCGGUGAAAUGCGUAGAUAUUGGGAAGAACACCGGUGGCGAAGGCGGCUUUCUGGACUGUAACUGACACUGAGGCACGAAAGCGUGGGGAGCAAACAGGAUUAGAUACCCUGGUAGUCCACGCCGUAAACGAUGAGCACUAGUUGUUGGGUACGAAUGUAUUCAGUGACGCAGUUAACGCAAUAAGUGCUCCGCCUGGGGAGUACGGUGGCAACACUAAAACUCAAAGGAAUUGACGGGGACCCGCACAAGCAGCGGAGCAUGUGGUUUAAUUCGAAGCAACGCGAAAAACCUUACCAGGGCUUGACAUCCCUCUGACCGCACCUUAACCGGUGCUUUCUUCGGACAGAGGUGACAGGUGGUGCAUGGUUGUCGUCAGCUCGUGUCGUGAGAUGUUGGGUUAAGUCCCGCAACGAGCGCAACCCUUGUCGUCAGUUACUAACAUUCGGUUGAGGACUCUGACGAGACUGCCGAGGUCAACUCGGAGGAAGGUGGGGAUGACGUCAAAUCAUCAUGCCCCUUAUGUUCUGGGCUACACACGUGCUACAAUGGUCGGUACAAUGAGACGCAAUACAGUGAUGUGGAGCAAAUCACCAAAACCGAUCCCAGUUCGGAUUGCAGGCUGCAACUCGCCUGCAUGAAGUCGGAGUUGCUAGUAAUCGCGAAUCAGCAUGUCGCGGUGAAUGCGUUCCCGG